UCUCGAUUGGUCUAGUGGUCAGGAUACCUGCUUGUCAUCUGACAAGUACGCAGGUGGCCGGGGUUCGAUUCCCCGAUCGAGAG
rnacentral:tRNA from 1 species